UACAGAGGGGGCAAGCGUUGUUCGGAAUUACUGGGCGUAAAGGGCGCGUAGGCGGCCUGUUAAGUCGAACGUGAAAUCCCCGGGCUCAACCCGGGAACUGCGUCCGAUACUGGUAGGCUUGAAUCCGGGAGAGGGAUGCGGAAUUCCAGGUGUAGCGGUGAAAUGCGUAGAUAUCUGGAGGAACACCGGUGGCGAAGGCGGCAUCCUGGACCGGCAUUGACGCUGAGGCGCGAAAGCCAUGGGAGCAAACGGG
rnacentral:rRNA from 1 species